rnacentral:rRNA from 2 species
AACGCUGGCGGCGUGCGUAACACAUGCAAGUCGAACGAGAAUGUACCGACAGAUCCUUAGGGUGAAGAUAGUACAGGACAGUGGCGGAUGGGUGAGUAACGCGUAAGAAACCUGCCUUUCACACCGGGAUAGCAGCUGGAAACGGCUAUUAAUACCGGAUGACACUUUUUCCCCGCAUGAGGAAGAGGUUAAAGAAUUUCGGUGAAAGAUGGUCUUGCGUCUGAUUAGCUAGUUGGUGGGGUAACGGCCUACCAAGGCGACGAUCAGUAGCCGGCCUGAGAGGGUGUACGGCCACAUUGGGACUGAGACACGGCCCAAACUCCUACGGGAGGCAGCAGUGGGGAAUUUUGCACAAUGGAGGAAACUCUGAUGCAGCGACGCCGCGUGAACGAAGAAGGUCUUCGGAUUGUAAAGUUCUGUCCUGGGUGAAGAUAAUGACGGUAACUCAGGAGGAAGCCCCGGCUAACUACGUGCCAGCAGCCGCGGUAA